rnacentral:rRNA from 1 species
UACGUAGGGGCCGAGCGUUGUCCGGAGUUAUUGGGCGUAAAGCGCGCGCAGGCGGCUUCGCGCGCCCGACGUGAAAGCCCCCGGCUUAACCGGGGAGAGUCGUUGGGGACGGCGGAGCUUGAGGGCGGGAGAGGUCGGUGGAAUUCCCGGUGUAGUGGUGAAAUGCGUAGAGAUCGGGAGGAACACCUGUGGCGAAGGCGACUUCCUGGCCUGUACCUGACGCUCAAACGCGAAAGCUAGGGGAGCGAACGGG